rnacentral:rRNA from 1 species
GUGUCAGCAGCCGCGGUAAUACGAAGGGGGCUAGCGUUACUCGGAAUUACUGGGCGUAAAGGGCGCGUAGGCGGCUUGGUAAGUCAGGCGUGAAAUUCCCGGGCUCAACCUGGGGACUGCGCUUGAGACUGCUGGGCUAGAGGAUGGAAGAGGGUCGUGGAAUUCCCAGUGUAGAGGUGAAAUUCGUAGAUAUUGGGAAGAACACCGGUGGCGAAGGCGGCGACCUGGUCCAUUACUGACGCUGAGGCGCGACAGCGUGGGGAGCAAACAGGAUUAGAUACCCUAGUAGUCC